UACGGAGGGUGCAAACGUUGCUCGGAAUCAUUGGGCGUAAAGCGCACGUAGGCGGCCUGUUAAGUCGGGUGUGAAAUCCCUCGGCUCAACCGAGGAAGUGCAUUCGAAACUAGCAGGCUUGAGUAUGGAAGAGGGUCGUGGAAUUCCCGGUGUAGAGGUGAAAUUCGUAGAUAUCGGGAGGAACACCAGUGGCGAAGGCGGCGACCUGGGCCAAUACUGACGCUGAGGUGCGAAAGCGUGGGGAGCAAACAGG
rnacentral:rRNA from 1 species